UGCCCGAACGUAACACGACACACCACCGUCCGCCAAAUAACUACGAGUACAAACUUAAAAUUUAAAGGACUUGACGGUAUUUCACACUCAACCUAGAGGAGCCUGUCUACUAACCGAUAACCCACGAUUAACCCAACCGCUUCUAGCCCCCAGCCUAUAUACCACCGUCGCCAGCCUACCUUAUAAAAGAAACAAAGUGAGCUAAACAGUAAUACACUAAAACGACAGGUCAAGGUGUAGCUAAUGAAUCGGAUUAGGAUGGGCUACAUUUUCUAACCCAGACUAUACGAACCAGGCCAUGAAACAAGCCUUCGAAGGCGGAUUUAGUAGUAAGCCGAGAACAUAAUACUCAACUGAAACCAAUGCAAUGAAAUGCGU
rnacentral:rRNA from 1 species